GCCCGCCUAGCUCAAUCGGAUAGAGCGUCAGACUUUUACGCAUCUACGUGUGUAGCGAUCUGAAGGCUGCGAGUUCGACCCUCGCGGUGGGCU